rnacentral:rRNA from 1 species
GACGAACGCUGGCGGCGUGCCUAACACAUGCAAGUCGAACGGAAAGGCCCUGCUUUUGUGGGGUGCUCGAGUGGCGAACGGGUGAGUAACACGUGAGUAACCUGCCCUUGACUUUGGGAUAACUUCAGGAAACUGGGGCUAAUACCGGAUAGGAGCUCAUGCUGCAUGGUGGGGGUUGGAAAGUUUCGGCGGUUGGGGAUGGACUCGCGGCUUAUCAGCUUGCUGGUGGGGUAGUGGCUUACCAAGGCUUUGACGGAUAGCCGGCCUGGGAGGGUGACCGGCCACAAUGGGACUGAGGUACGGCCCAGACUCCUACAGGGGGCAGCAGUGGGGAAUAUUGCACAAUGGGCGGAAGCGUGAUGCGGCAACGCCGCGUGCGUGAUGACGGCCUUCGGGUUGUGAACCGCUUUCGCCUGUGACGAAGCUGGAGUGACGGUAAUGAGUAAAGAAGCACCGGCUAACUACGUG